UAGCUGUAGGUGAACCUGCUGCUGGAUCAUUACUUUAUGUGAUGUUCAAAUUUGAAUUCGCAACAAAAAUAUACUGUUGUGAAACGGCUGUCGCGGUGUCUAGGUGUUGCUGAUACAGUUGUUAACGUCCGUGGCUGUAUAUGUGGUGACAUGUUAGGACUCUUUAAUGAGUUUAAGACUUAAUGAGCCUCUUAAGUGAGGACGCCAGCACUCUUUUUUUCUCUAUAUUUUUUAAAAAAACGAAAAUUUCUAGCCUUAUCGGUGGAUCACUCGGCUCGUGGAUCGAUGAAGAACGCAGCAAACUGCGAUAAUUUGUGCGAACUGCAGAAACCUUGAGCACAAAAGUUUUGAACGCAUAUUGCAGCAUUGGGGUCAAACCCUUUGCUACGUCUGGUUCAGGGUCAUUUUCUUUUAAAGCGAAAGCUUUAAUUUAUAUAUGCUAUUGAUGCUUUAUAUUUUAAGAGGUUUGUUGUUUGUCAUAAUUUUAUAAAUAUAACUACAAAAAUCAAGCAACUUUGACCUGAACUCAGUCGAGAGC
rnacentral:rRNA from 1 species